rnacentral:rRNA from 1 species
GAUGAACGCUGGCGGCGUGCCUAAUACAUGCAAGUCGAGCGAACAGACGAGGAGCUUGCUCCUCUGACGUUAGCGGCGGACGGGUGAGUAACACGUGGAUAACCUACCUAUAAGACUGGGAUAACUUCGGGAAACCGGAGCUAAUACCGGAUAAUAUAUUGAACCGCAUGGUUCAAUAGUGAAAGACGGUUUUGCUGUCACUUAUAGAUGGAUCCGCGCCGCAUUAGCUAGUUGGUAAGGUAACGGCUUACCAAGGCAACGAUGCGUAGCCGACCUGAGAGGGUGAUGGGCCACACGGGAGCGUAGCCACGGACAAGAGUACUACGAGAGGGAGCAGUAGGGUAGGUGAGGAAAUGGGGGAAAGUAUGACGGAGCAAGGGCGAGUGAGAGAAGAAGGUGUUGGGAGCGUAAAAAUGGGUUAUGAGGGAAGAACAGAUGUGGAAUGAGAUGAAGCGAGAGUGACGGUAACUAAUAAGAAAGCAACGGCUAACUACGUG